CUUGACGCGGGAAAAAAAAAAAAAAGAAAAAAAAGAAAAAAAAAAAAAAAGAAAAGG
rnacentral:ribozyme from 1 species